rnacentral:rRNA from 1 species
GCGGCAGGCUAACACAUGCAAGUCGAGGGGCAGCACAGAAAGAGUUUACUCUUUUGGUGGCGACCGGCGGACGGGUGCGUAACGCGUAUGCAACCUACCUUUUACAGGGGGAUAACGCUGGGAAACCGGCACUAAUACCCCAUAAUAUCAGAAUCGGCAUCGGUUUUGGUUGAAAACUCCGGUGGUAAAAGAUGGGCAUGCGUUGUAUUAGGUAGUUGGUGAGGUAAUGGCUCACCAAGCCUACGAUACAUAGGGGGACUGAGAGGUUAGCCCCCCACACUGGUACUGAGACACGGACCAGACUCCUACGGGAGGCAGCAGUGAGGAAUAUUGGUCAAUGGGGGCAACCCUGAACCAGCCAUGCCGCGUGCAGGAAGACGGCUCUAUGAGUUGUAAACUGCUUUUAUAUAUGGAUAAAUCGGAGUACGUGUACUUCGUUGAAGGUAAUAUAUGAAUAAGGACCGGCUAACUCCGUGCCAGCAGCCGCGGUAAUACGGAGGGUCCAAGCGUUAUCCGGAUUUAUUGGGUUUAAAGGGUGCGUAGGCGGCACAGUAAGUUAGCGGUGAAAUCUCGGGGCUCAACCCUGAAACUGCCGUUAAAACUGCUGAGCUAGAGAUUGGAUGCUGUGGGCGGAAUGUGUAGUGUAGCGUGAAAUGCUUAGAGAUACACAGAACACCGAUGCGAGGCAGCUCACAAAUCCACUUCUGACGUGAGCAC